GUAGGUGGCAAGCGUUGUCCGGAAUUAUUGGGGGCGUAAAGCGCGCGCAGGCGGUUCUUUAAGUCUGAUGUGAAAGCCCACGGGCUCAACCGUGGAGGGUCAUUGGAAACUGGAGAACUUGAGUACAGAAGAGGAAAGCGGAAUUCCACGUGUAGCGGUGAAAUGCGUAGAGAUGUGGAGGAACACCAGUGGCGAAGGCGGCUUUCUGGUCUGUAACUGACGCUGAGGCGCGAAAGCGUGGGGAGCAAACAGGAUUAGAUACCCUGGUAGUCCACGCCGUAAACGAUGAGUGCUAAGUGUUAGGGGGUUUCCGCCCCUUAGUGCUGCAGCUAACGCAUUAAGCACUCCGCCUGGGGAGUACGGCCGCAAAGGCUGA
rnacentral:rRNA from 1 species